rnacentral:tRNA from 1 species
GGGAAUGUGGCUUAGUGGUAGAGUGCUUGCCUAGCAUGCAUGAAACCCUGAUUUCCAUUCCUC